GGAGGCUGGCGGUGGGCGCAAUACCCGCCAACCCGGUCAGGUCCGGAAGGAAGCAGCCGUAACGGAUUCCUUGCGCGCCGCCGUUCAGUCUCCCAC
rnacentral:SRP_RNA from 1 species